GGAAUAUAAGAAUCCGUCUCUUAACUUUUAACUAAAAAAGUUAAGAACCAGCUCUUUAAUAAGAGUUUUAAAAACCAGUUCUUAAUUUUUUUAGUUAAAAGUUAAGAGACAAAUUCUUAUAUUUU
rfam:Brassica oleracea var. oleracea cultivar TO1000 chromosome C4, whole genome shotgun sequence